rnacentral:lncRNA from 1 species
GCUAAAUCGGGGUUAUAUUACCGGGAGAAGUUCAGGCUUUGUAAGAUGGGAUUACAACAUUACAACAUGGGAUUACAACUUGGCCCAUGGAAAUCUUAGACCAGACAGAUGACUCAACUAAUUGCAUAGUGCAAGCUUUAGAGAGAAUAAAGAGAAUCAAUUGGGAAAGCCAAGACCAGACUGCAACUUACGACUUUGAAAAUUUAUACCCUGCUUUGAAAAUUGAACCAGCAUGCCUAACCUUAUAUCAAUUUCUGUUGGCUAAUACUGGGGACUUACGAGUGGAGCCAGCAAUCCUUAGAGAUCUAGCAUACAUCAUAACAAAGAGGUUGUACUUCGCAUUCAAUGGGAGGUUCUGCCUG